rnacentral:rRNA from 1 species
UACGAAGGGGGCUAGCGUUGCUCGGAAUGACUGGGCGUAAAGGGCGCGUAGGCGGAUUGCUUUGUCGGGCGUGAAAUUCCAGGGCUUAACCUUGGGGCUGCGUUCGAGACGGGUGAUCUUGAGUUCGGAAGAGGGUCGUGGAAUUCCCAGUGUAGAGGUGAAAUUCGUAGAUAUUGGGAAGAACACCGGUGGCGAAGGCGGCUCACUGGCGUCGUUUCUGACGCUCAGGCGCGACAGCGUGGGGAUCAAACAGG